rnacentral:rRNA from 1 species
UACGUAGGGCGCAAGCGUUUGUCCGGAAUUAUUGGGCGUAAAGAGCUCGUAGGCGGCUUGUCGCGUCGGGAUGUGAAAGCCCGGGGCUUAACUCCGGGUCUGCAUUCGAUACGGGCAGGCUAGAGUUCGGUAGGGGAGAUCGGAAUUCCUGGUGUAGCGGUGAAAUGACGCAGAUAUCAGGAGGAACACCGGUGGCGAAGGCGGAUCUCUGGGCCGAUACUGACACUGAGGAGCGAAAGCCAGGGGAGCAAACGGG